GCAGUCGAACGGUAGCACAGAGAGCUUGCUCUCGGGUGACGAGUGGCGGACGGGUGAGUAAUGUCUGGGAAACUGCCUGAUGGAGGGGGAUAACUACUGGAAACGGUAGCUAAUACCGCAUAACGUCGCAAGACCAAAGAGGGGGACCUUCGGGCCUCUUGCCAUCAGAUGUGCCCAGAUGGGAUUAGCUAGUAGGUGGGGUAACGGCUCACCUAGGCGACGAUCCCUAGCUGGUCUGAGAGGAUGACCAGCCACACUGGAACUGAGACACGGUCCAGACUCCUACGGGAGGCAGCAGUGGGGAAUAUUGCACAAUGGGCGCAAGCCUGAUGCAGCCAUGCCGCGUGUAUGAAGAAGGCCUUCGGGUUGUAAAGUACUUUCAGCGGGGAGGAAGGUGUUGUGGUUAAUAACCCCAGCAAUUGACGUUACCCGCAGAAGAAGCACCGGCUAACUCCGUGCCAGCAGCCGCGGUAAUACGGAGGGUGCAAGCGUUAAUCGGAAUUACUGGGCGUAAAGCGCACGCAGGCGGUCUGUCAAGUCGGAUGUGAAAUCCCCGGGCUCAACCUGGGAACUGCAUUCGAAACUGGCAGGCUGGAGUCU
rnacentral:rRNA from 1 species